GACGAACGCUGGCGGCGUGCUUAACACAUGCAAGUCGAACGGAAAGGCCCUGCUUUUGUGGGGUGCUCGAGUGGCGAACGGGUGAGUAACACGUGAGUAACCUGCCCUUGACUUUGGGAUAACUUCAGGAAACUGGGGCUAAUACCGGAUAGGAGCUCCUGCUGCAUGGUGGGGGUUGGAAAGUUUCGGCGGUUGGGGAUGGACUCGCGGCUUAUCAGCUUGUUGGUGGGGUAGUGGCUUACCAAGGCUUUGACGGGUAGCCGGCCUGAGAGGGUGACCGGCCACAUUGGGACUGGGAUACGGCCCAGACUCCUACGGGAGGCAGCAGUGGGGAAUAUUGCACAAUGGGCGGAAGCCUGAUGCAGCAACGCCGCGUGCGGGAUGACGGCCUUCGGGUUGUAAACCGCUUUCGCCUGUGACGAAGCGUGAGUGACGGUAAUGGGUAAAGAAGCACCGGCUAAUUACGUG
rnacentral:rRNA from 1 species